UCUUGGCUAGGAUGGGGGAGAGCACUGAGUCACGUGGGACUCCCUGUGGUCAGGAUUUUGGUGUUAGGGAGCGUGGCCCCCUCAGUAUCAAUGUCUGCAGUGGGGUCUAGCAGAACAGGCUGAGAGGUAGGUUUGCUGUUGGUCGCCAGAAGAAGGCUGUCCAUCAGCGAGGCCUGUUGUGUGCUGUGUCCUGGCCUGAGGCAUGGUGAUGAGUCUAGAAUGCUGGCAGAGGGCACCAUUGUCCCAGUAACCAUGGAGAAAGCCCGGCUGAGACCUGGAGCAGUAACUGGAAAUAUCUUGGAGGUGUGUAGGCUUCUAGGGCCGCAUGCUUGGUAUCUGGUAACUCCUUUGAUGGACAUGGAUCUCACUUAUGAAGAGGACCAGCCAGGUGUCCUCUGCCGGAUUUCACCAGACAUUCCUUCUUCGGAGUCUCCACAGCCUCUGAAUGGGUAACUGGCCCGAACGCCACCAGAAACGUCUUGGGCAUCUUAAAACCAAGGGGGCUGCUGCUCUUCCAAUACAAUUCAACACAGAGAGACGCUGUUUGGGUUUCACGAGCCACCCUCUUCAAAGUCCUGGGGGCGCUCUGUGUGGCGUGCGCAGGUAUUAUCGGAAGCCAGUACAUGAACACUAGCAUCUGAGACCGGGUUCCAUCGGGCCGGCUUCCUGCCCACAGGCCGCUGUCCAUCUGGAUCUUAACUACCAUCCACAAUAAAAAACAUCAUCAUGUAAGA